CUGGAAUUCACAUGAAGAAAAGCUAAAUGUGGCAGCAUUUGAUUUUGAACCCAGCAUUCGGGAGGAAGAGAUAGGCAAAUGUCAGGGGGUGUUCUGAACAGCCAGCCUAGUGUACUCACUAAGUUCCGGGCCAGUGAGAGACUCUGUCUCUGAAAUGAGGUGGACUGUACCUAAGGAAGGACACCCAAGGCUUUUGGCUGGCCUUCACAUGCACACACACAUAGGUGCUCCCAUGCAUCCAUGAACAUACACACAGAGCAAACAACACAGUGAAUGAUGACGGAAGCAUUUUUUUUAUGACACAAGACAUCUUAAACCUGACCAAGGAAAAGAGAAAGAUAGCCCAGGGACUACACUUCACCACAUGGGCUGUCACCAAUCUCCUGCCACCUGUUUGAGGCACCCAUCCAAUUCUUGGCAUGGAAUGAAUUUUAAAUCUUGACUCAAAGUGAAAAUGAAUGCAGGUGGCUAGUGGCUGAAAGAGGCCUCUUCGAAGACCUUCCCUAACUAAGGUAUGAAAUGUCUAAGCCAUCCAAUAUGUGGGCAGGUCACAUUAUUAAAUUGAAAGUCCCUAGUAUAUUUAUGCAGUGUAUCCUACAGUUUUCAGGUUAAAGCCUUGGAAACAGUUCCUCACAGCAAAAAAGACUCGGAAUAAUCUACCAUAGUUUUUAGGUGAAGUGUUUUUAAAUAUGUCUUCAUCUAUUCACAUCCACCCCAGUCAGCUUUUAACUGGCAACUCAACCACCCUAGAGUCAUCUGAGAACAGUCUCAUAUGAGGACUUGUCAGAUUUACCUGUGGGCAAGUCUCAGCUGGGAUUGUCCUGACUGUUUCUGUGCUGGUGACAGAAUCUCACUAUGCAGCCUGGCUGGCCUCAAACUCACAGAGAACUGCUUGACGUUGCCUCCAAAAGUCAUGAGCAAGCACAAUAGUUGUCUUGAUUGUUAAUUGAUGUAGCAGGGCCCAGCCCACUGUGGGUGGUACCAUUCCCUGAACAGAUGGUCUUGAACUGUGUAAGAAAGUUAGAUGAGCAUGAGCCUAGGAGCCAGCCAGCACACAGUGGUUUUCCACUUCUUAUGCUUCACACUUCUGCUUGAGUUCCUGCCCUGACUCCCCACCCCCUCCCCCCAUGAUGGACUGUGAGCUGAAGUAAGCCCUUUCCUCCCCCAGGUUGCUUUGGUUAUGGUACUUGUCGCAGCAUGUAAAAUCAGGGCAACACAUACACCUGCCCACCUGCUCAUGUUUUUGCAGAAUCAGACACACAAAUGCUGCAGCUGUUCACUGGCUCUCGUACCUCAACAUCAAGGAUACCAGCUUUUAAAGUGUAAGGUCUGAAACAAAGCUCACUACUGAGGACAAUGGACUGGCUUGAUGUUCCUUCUCUUGUGAGAAAGCAAGCUUGGUGCAGCACAGAGUUAGCCCCCAGGACCAAGCUCAUUCCAUUCGCCACAGGUCUAAACACACACAGAGCCACAGGUGCCAUCCUCAGCCCAUGCUUACAUGGGAAAGGACAGCUGCAUGGCACAGCUGUGGCUCCUAGUGGCUUUGAUGUUCCUAGCAGUCCUAGGUCUGGCCAGCACACUUCUCUCUGUAGGUCUAUUAGACAGUGGUCCAGUCUACUGUUGAGUGGCAGGUCUGAAUCCCCUAAUACUUGAGCUCUGAGUUUGGAGCAUCACACUUUCACUGUUCCUUGGCACAACUUGGACACUGGUAUCCUCUGGGAACUGUUGCAGAGUUCCCUGUACUCCACCUUUGUAAAAUUGUCCAUGAAGUUUUCAUGUCUGCCAAUUAGGUCUUCACAUUUAUGCCUACUGUAAAUGAAAUGACAAUAACAACAUCAACAACAACAAAAUCCAAACAGCCACCAUGAAAACAAAACCCACAAUUCACACAGCUUGCCCUCGAGGAGAAGAGCAUCCAGGAAGUCACCAUCCCAGGACGUUUCCAAACCUUGCCCCGCUCCUCACUUUCAGGUGGAUGAAGUUGUGGUGUGGUGGGUGGCAGAGGGUGGUGCUGCCCAAACUGUUCUGUGGCAUCUGGAGGCAGACUGGGGCUGCCACUCAGGACUGGCACUGUGGACUUGGCCCAUGAGCACCCAAAAGGUUGAGGCAGAUGUGGAGAAGCCCCUUAAAAAUGGUACCAGUUUGUCCUCUGACAAUUAAGGACUACAUCAAAAAUGCUGUUGAUGGUGCCUCCGAACACCGUGUGAAGACAGAACCUCCCCAGACUGCCAGAACUUUUGUUCUGGGCUCUCUCAACAAUGAAGCAAGUCACAUAUGUGCUAACGCACCUGACACUCUGUCCACCCUUCCACAGGGGAAACAAUAAAGAAAUGGCUGUAUCCUCUGAUUUUGGCCCCUUGUCUCCACCACCCAGCAAGCCACCAGAGGCUUGGAAUCUUUGUUCCUUGAUGCUUCCAUUAGUCAUCCUAAUCCCUGGCAGCUCAGCUAAGUUCCUGAUAACUGGAACCCCCUUUCAUUGGGUAUACAAAAGAUGUACCUCAACCUUGGGGCUUCCUGUGGGACCACCCAGGCCACACCCAGCAAGUGGCAUAAAAGCCAGUAUCAUCGCAACUUAACAAUAGUCAACUUAUAGAAAUAGAAUUGUGGCUGGUACAGAACCAGGCAAUUGUGACAGCCAAAGUAGAGCAGGACAGGAACAGCUUCCUUCUGCUCUCACAGGGACCUUAGAUGUGUCCCAGAUGGAUUUCUUUUGUCUGUUCAGAUAAACCUUGCAAGUGGGCAAGUCUCCUUUGUGCUUUCAGUCCUGAGCUCUUGAAAGCAAGUGGCUUAUGGGCUAGGCUUGCAGCUGUAUGUUUUUCUUUUAAAUUCUUUAAUUACUACUCAUAUUUACAUAUUCGUCCCCCCCAUUGCCUUGCCCUCCCUUCCUCCCAUGUUCCCCACCAAUCCGACCAACCCAUCCCCCAACUCCUCCCCAGGGAUAGUGAGGCCCUCCACGGGGGACCUUCGAAGUCCAUCAUAUCAUUUGGGGGAGGGCCUAGGCCCUCCUUGUAUCUGGGCUGCAAUAGUUUCCCUCCAUAGUGAAUGGGCUCCCAAAGUCCAUUUGUGUUCUAGGGAUAAAGACUGGCUCCACUGUUAGAGGUCCCAUAGACUGUCUUGGCCUCCUAGCUGGCACCCACAUUCUGAGGGCUUGGUUUGGUGCAAUGCUGUUUCCCAAAGCUUUAUGACUAGGGUCUCCAUGUUAUCGAUAGGUGAGGUCCACUGUUUCUUCAGGUUUCUCCAGCCCUGUCUUGGCUCCUUUGCUCCUCCCUCCUCCCUCUCCACAACUGGAUUUCAGUAGUAUAGUGCAGUGCUUAGCUGUGGGUGCCUGUUUCUGCUUCAAACAGCUACUGGAUGAAGGCUCUAGGAAUGGUAACCAAGGUAGACACCAAUCUCAUUAUAGGGGAAGGGCAUCAAAGGCAUUCUCUCCACCACUGCCUGGCUUCUUAGUUGGGGUCAUCCCUGUGAAUCCCCUAACAUUUCCCCUGUGCCAGACCUCUCUCCAAACCUGUACUGUCUCCCUCUAUCAAGGCAUCUCCUUUCUUGCCCUCCUCUAUUCCUCCCCUGUCUCAGUCCUCUUGUUCUCCUCCCCCCUCCUCUUUUUCCCUUCCCACCUCCUUCCCCUUCCCCGGCCCUGGGCUUCUACUUUGUUCAGGGGUUCUUGUCCCCAUCCUCUUCUUUGAGGGACUAUGCAAUCUUCUCUUGGGGUCCUCCUUGUUUCCUAGCUCCUCUGGAAGUGUGGAUUGUAGACUGAUAAUCCUUUGAUCCAUGUCUAAAAAUAAAAAGUGAG
rnacentral:lncRNA from 1 species